CACACCUUCCUUCUCAUCUUUCAUUUCUUUCUCGCCGCUUCCUUUUCGUCAUUUCAUUCUUUUUCUCAUAUUGUUUUUUGUCUUCCUUUUCCUUUCUAGUUAUCCAUAUUCUUGUUUCUGCUUUCUGAUACAACAGAUAAUGAAUGGAACAUCAUUGUGGAAUGAAUGGAACAUCAUUGUGGAGGAAAGGAUGCUUAUAUUAGGUACUAUUAGCAUUUUGUUUAUAAAAAAUAUUUUUUUAAUAUUUUUCCUUGUUAUUCAAAUCUAUUAACUAUGUUUCCAUGCAUUCUUGAGAUCGGAUAGUUAUUUUAAUUUAUUUAAUAGUUUUUUUAUAUUAAUGUAUUUGGUGUAUUGUUAGAAAUAUUUUGAUUUAUUAUCACAUGUAUUGAUUAGAUUUUAUUAUUAAUCAAAUUUAAGGAUUGAUAAUUAAUUGAAUCAAAAUAUGUAACUAAUGGAUUGUCUUUGUAGUAUUUGAAAUCCUAUUGUGAAAGGAUGAAAAUCUAUUAUAACUAAUAUAAAAGUUAAAGAUUCAUCAUUUCAUAAUAUAUUUUAUAAAACUAUGAGUACAAGGCAUUAGUCACAUGUUUUAUAUAAUUAAAUUUUAAUAUAUCUGAUUAAUAUGAGAUUUUAUAAAUUAAAAUAUUUCAACUGAUACCAUAAAUGAAUGAAAUAUCAAGAAAAAAGUAUUAAAAUGAUUAAGAACAUUAUCAAUCUUCACUUUUGUAUAUAAAAGUUUAUACUAUAUCUAAAAUCAAAGAAUUAUACUGCUAAUGAAGUGAAUAUUCGAUCUUUCACAGUAAAGACAAUACAUAGUGUAGAAAAACUCAUCAUGUUAGCAUCCAAGUUUAAUGUUAACAGUAAUCUAAGUAAGAAAAUAUAUUAAAGCAUGGCUUUUGUAAGAAAUAUUAAACAAAUGUCAUUAGACAAAUAUCACUUAAAAAGAGAUAAGUGUAUUUGUCAUUAUAAUAUUAAUAAAUUAUUCAAUGAAUUAAAACUUGACACUUGUAAAAUAAACACUUCAUUAUCAGUAACUUGGAUGCUAAUUUAAUAAGGUAAUGAGAUUUUGUAUAAUAUGUAAUGUCUUUGCUGUGAAAGUUCAAAUGUAUAUUUCAUUAGCAGCAUAAUAUCAUAUAAGAAAAUUCCACAUGCAUUUGAUGUAUAUCAAAUUUGGCAUUAUCUUUAUUCAUAUGAAAAAAGAAAAUAAAAUAGCUAAUUCCAUGUACUUAUAAAUAGUACAUGUUAUUGUGCAAAUAGAUAAGAAGAGAUGCAAUACUGUGGAGGAGAUAGCAACUUAAUUGAAUUAUCAUCAUAUGAUUCACCAAAGCAAUUUGAUUGAAACAUGAUCUAAGAGCACACUCUUCUUCAAGAUAGGAUCUGAUAUCUGAUGCAACUUCAGCUUCCAUAAUUAUGUCGUUUAGAUGUUCAUUCAGAGAACUAAAUGGCUACAUGUAUUUAUAUGUAUCUAGCAAUUUCAAUGUAUUCGGUUGUUAUUUGUUUGCAACAUGACGUGUAAUAGUUUAUAUUUGAUUAAAUUAAUAAUAACAAUAUUAUAGAUGUGAUUUAUUAUUUGUUUGCAACGUUUUAUGUUUUAUUGACAAAAGCAUCCAUAUGCAUUGCUAUCUCGUCAGACACUGUCUUCAGGAAAUAAUUAAAAAAUAUUGUCCUUUUCUAUAAUGAGUUCAGUUUGAGAUGAUAAUGAAUUAUAGUGAGUGAAUACAAAUGGCAGCCAUGCAAUGUUGAGAUUUAAAUUCACACUGUGCGUUACAGCUUUCUAACGUUUUAUACAUAAAAGCCAAAGUAGAGACUGAGAUACAACAGCUGUAAAUCUAUACCACUGCUAUUUCUUCGCUUAUUGCAAUUAUUUCUCUGUGAUUUUCAAAAGUUUUCUGUGGUUACUUGGUGCACUAUAAAUACAUCCAAUAUUCACCUAACACAAUCAAAACACUUAAAAUUUUCAUCCUU